UAAACUUGAACAAAUCAGUAAUAAAGAUUGAUAGGAAAUGUUAAGAACUCAGAAGUAAAUGCUGUAUGAUGCUGUGGAUAUAAAUGCAUUCCAAUAGUUUUAGACGUGUCAGCCUUUAGGUGCACAGCUCACAGCUUUUACUCUUGACUCGUAGGGCUGAGCAGAAGUGGAAGCCCAAAAACAAAGCAGAGAACACGGCGCCCCUAAAAGACCAAUUUCUGUUCGUGUCCUUUGCACAAACAUCCUUUCUGGUCUGAGACACUCCUUUAAUUCACUUUAUUCUCCGACAACUCAAUACUACAGCUAAAUAAUUUAUUAAACCCACAUUUUUCUCAUUGGGAACAGCUGUAUUUUUGUUGAACACAUUUGAAGCACUGAGUAUUUUUGCUCCUUCUAAUAUUUUUGUUUACAGUCCAUCAUGUCGUAAGUAAAAAAUCACUUCUGCCUACUGCUGCUAGGGCAUAUAUUUUCCCUACUACUGCAGGAUAGUUUAAAAAAAAAAAAAUGAAUGCUAAGAUUUUCUUGACAGUGAUAGCCCCUUAGCUGCUAAAUCUGCUAUCCCAUCCAUCACCGAUCUCAAGCAAAGCAAGCAUUAGUUUCUCUGUGACUUAUCUAGGUCUUUAGUAGAUCAAUAGCACAGCUCAGAUGUUUCAGACUCUUUGCUGUUAAUUCACAUUUAUCUUUUCAUCCAAAGAAGGUAAAUUACCUCACAGAGAAGCUGUGUUAUCCCCAGUAGUGGUUUAUAAUGUUGCAAAGUCAGCAUGACCCACAUAUCUUAUCUCAGCUGGAAUGCAUUUGUCACUGUCUCGUGUUAUGAUCAUCUGGUAAAAUGCCCUAGAAAAGAGGUAAACCUGCAAAAUAGCUUCACCAUUUGCAUUUAAUGACCUUUUCUGCUGUGUGCUCCUGCAUCACCUUCAAUUUAAACUCCCAAAAUAAAGGGAACUUUCUUUUUCCCUUUCAUGCUCCAUUUCAUCAUUUUUAGCAUCAGUGAAAUUUUAAUUGCUCAGCAGCCUUGUUCCUGCUGUCGUGGGUUGAUCGGUAGGUGGUGAUACUGAGACUGAGAACUGUGUAAUUUAUUAAUAUGCUAUGUGAACCCUGAAAAAGGACUGCUGAGUUUAACUCUGCAUUUGUACAGUUGGCUGCUGGUUACCUGAAGCUUUUUUUGGGCCCUGGGAGUGUUUAAUGCUGUUGGGGAAACAGAACGAGCAGCAGUGUUGCUGUUCCAAACGGGGACUUCACGUGAGCAAAGAUGAAAUUUUACAUCUGAAGGUUAUUUGCUGUUAUUUCCAGAAGCGAGCCCUGUGCCUCUAUCUCUGCGCUUGCGGGGACCCUCCUACC